UCUCGAUAUCGUAAAAGUUAACUCAAAUUUGUAUGAAGUUGGAACGUUUGACUACGUUUGCCGCUAGGGGCACUAUUCCAUCCAGCUUCAUACAAAUUUCAGGUAACUUUUAGCCCUCAU
rnacentral:pre_miRNA from 9 species